rnacentral:rRNA from 1 species
UAGGGAAUCUUCCACAAUGGACGAAAGUCUGAUGGAGCAACGCCGCGUGAGUGAAGAAGGGUUUCGGCUCGUAAACUCUGUUGUUAAAGAAGAACAUAUCUGAGAGUAACUGUUCAGGUAUUGACGGUAUUUAACCAGAAAGCCACGGCUAACUACGUGCAAG